UUAGUCUGUUUUCGGUCUGUUCUGGGCCUCUUCGUGCUAGCGGCAGCCAUUUUGCCAUCUGUGUGGUCGGGUCAGGCCUCCAAAAUGGCCACCACCAGCACAAGGAGGCCCAGAACUGGCUGAAAACAGACUAAAACCUGGCCAAUUGGAGCCCGGGUGGGAAGCCAGCGGGGUGAGGGGGAAGCGCUGAAGAUUAUUUCGCAGCUGCGGCAGUGCCCCCCAGAGGUGUUUUCUUUUCAGCAUCAGAGGAUCAAGGGAGUGACAGCCUAGGAACAAAGGGCCUUGGAAAUGGGGAGAUGUGAUGUAUGUGCGUGUGCAUGCAUAGAACUGUGGCAACUGGAUGAAUCACUAAUGUAAGCCGGCGGAUUCUUUAUGUGAGACAAGAAAUCUUAGCUGGGAAGAGCUAAGAUUUGAUCUACAGACGAUAUGGGCUUGCCAUGUGUCAAGAGUUCUUCAGGAAUCAUGGCAGGAUACAGACAAGGAAGAGCAGAUGAGUAUGCUUAUGAAAAGCAGUAUAUUAACAUUAACAUCAUCAUCAUCAUCUUUGUGGUAAGGCCCUGAAGCAGAAUAUUUUGCCAUACAGCCCAGAUGCAGACUUUUGAUGCGAUACCUGUAGCUCUAUGCUAACAAAAAGUACCCAAGUUGAAAGCAGGGGAAUCAGAUCCCAUCUCUCUGGAGAAACAAUGUAGAGUUAUACUUACGAUCCUGGUAGGGUGGUUUAAAGAUGUAGCCUUUAUUAUCUAGGCUCCUUCGGUAGAAGCUGGCAUUGAAAGGUUCUGGAUCUUCUUCCCAAUCUUCAGCAGCUCUUAAAUGAGACCAUAGAUCAAUCAGCACCAUAGAAUGUCACAUGCCUUUGGACAGAUUUCAUUUCCCAUGGAGUGGCUGAAGGUCAUUGCGACUGAAGAGGAUGGGAAUUGUUCAACAACGACUAGGGACUCAAGUUGGAGAGCGCUUUUUGGAAUCAAUAAAAAUAUUUUUCUUGAAAUGUCA